AUCCAUAUGAUCCUUUUCAUAUCGGAUACCCGUCUUAACCAGAUGGCCAAUACGUGUACGAUUACUCUCAUCCUCUCCUAGAGGUUGAGUGCGGUAAGCCGAAACAAACACUGUCGACCGUUAAGGUCAGUGUGAAAAGAUGAUCCAGGCUUACUUGCCAACUCAUGGCUUUUUGCUCUAGCAGGGUGUGCUCCCUCGGGGGUCCUGCAAGAUCGGACGAAUUUCUGCCCUAUCAGCCUUUGAUCAUGGUUUAGUGGUCCAGGAUGGCAAUAACGGGUAACGGGGAAUUGGGGUUCGAUUCCGGAGAGGGGGCCUGAGAUAUGGCCACCACGACCAAGGUCGGCAGCAGGCGCGUAAAUUGCCCAAUACUGACUCAUUUGGUGAGGCAGCAACGAGGAAUGGUAACUCCGCCAGCUUUUCGCUGGUGUCGUUUGCAAUGGAUGUUACUCAAACUCAGCAGUGAGUAUCAACUGGAGGGCAAGUCUGGUGCCAGCAGCCGCGGUAAUUCCAGCUCCAGUAGCGUAUACUGACGUUGUUGCUGUUAAAAAGCUCGUAGUUGAUUGCUGAGCGAGGGUGUUUCCUUGGUUGAGCGUAUCCUUUCCAGGGUACGUUAAGCGCUGCUUGCAGCGUGAGGGAUACGCCUAUCGCCUAUCAUUUACACGGAAGCGACUUCCAAUUCAACUUUCCAGCGCAUCAACCGUGCUGGUUAGCGGCCUUCGUACAAAACGCGUGCGCGCCACGGGUAUUCUCUCCUCGGAGGCGUACCCUAAGGAACGUCCGUGGUUGUCACCGUGAGCAAAACAGAGUGCCCAAGGCAGCCUUUAUGGUUGUAUGGUUUAGUGUGGAAUGGCAAGGGAUCGUCCAACGAAUUCUUCUUUCUGUCAGUGUUCCGGAAACUGUUGGGUAAGGCUGGCAUUUAUGCUUUCCGUCCCUUCGGGGAGCUGGAGGCUUUACAGGUGCCAGCUUGUGAUGACAGAGGGCGUUGUACGUUAUGCGAACCGUGCCGCGAGUGGUGAAAUACUUAGACCGGCGUGUGACGCACCAAGGCGAAAGCACUGAACGGGUUCUGCCUUGCCGAUCAAGAACGAGAGUGUGGGGAUCGAAGAUGAUCAGAUACCGUCGUAGUCCACUGCUGUAAACGAUGCCUGCUCGGAAUCGGUGGCGUGUUCUUACAUAGAAUGACGCCAUCGGCGCCUUCUCUUCCUUCAACGAGAAAUCGAAGCUUAUCGGUUCAGGGGGGAGUAUGGUCGCAAGACUGAAACUUAAAGGAAUUGACGGAAUGGCACCACAAGGCGUGGAGUGUGCGGCUUAAUUUGACUCAACAUGGGAAACGUUACCAGAUCAGCACAGGGUGAUGAUGGACAGGCUGAUAGUUCUUUCUUGAUUUCCUGGACAGUGGUGCAUGGCCGUUCGUGGUUGGUGGAGUGAUCUGUCUGGUUGAUUCCGGUAACGAACGAGACCUCCACCUCUCAAUAGUCUGCGAUCUCGUUGUAAGGUUGAGUGUUGUCUCUCCUGGAGGGUUCGCUCUCCAGGGUGGGCAGCAUAUCUCCUGAGAGUGUCGCGAUUUUGCUUCUCAGAGGGCAUGAACACCGUGCUUUUGUUUUAGUGUUGCAACAUCCGGGAGUCGACAGCAGGUCUGUGAUGCCCUUAGAUGCCCUGGGCUGCACGCGCACGACACUGACAACGAAAAUGCGCACGCUGCCCUUUUGGUGGGGUUCGCUUCACCAAAAGUGGUUUGCCUGUUUUGAGGAGAAUGGAGUAAUCUCUCAAACCGUUGUCGUGCUGGGAACCGGUGAUUGCAACUGUUUGCCUUA
rnacentral:rRNA from 1 species